AUUGUAGUCAUAUGCUUGUCUCAAAGAUUAAGCCAUGCAUGUCUAAGUAUAAGCAAUUAUACCGCGAAACUGCGAAUGGCUCAUUAAAUCAGUUAUCGUUUAUUUGAUAGUUCCAUACUACUUGGAUAACCGUGGUAAUUCUAGAGCUAAUACAUGCAAAAAACCGCGACUUCGGAAGCGGUGUAUUUAUUAGAUUAAAGACCAAUGCCCUUCGGGGCUGACAGGUGAUUCAUGAUAACUUCUCGAAUCGCAUGGCCUUGCGCCGGCGAUGGUUCAUUCAAAUUUCUGCCCUAUCAACUUUCGACUUUAGUGUAGUGGACUAAAGUGGUUACAACGGGUAACGGAGGGUUAGGGCUCGACCCCGGAGAAGGAGCCUGAGAAACGGCUACUACAUCCAAGGAAGGCAGCAGGCGCGCAAAUUACCCAAUCCCGACACGGGGAGGUAGUGACAAUAAAUACUGAUACAGGGCUCUUUUGGGUCUUGUAAUUGGAAUGAGUACAAUUUAAAUCCCUUAACGAGGAACAAUUGGAGGGCAAGUCUGGUGCCAGCAGCCAAUC
rnacentral:rRNA from 1 species